GAUGAAGAACGUAGCGAAAUGCGAUAAGUAAUGCGAAUUGCAGAAUUCCAGUGAGUCAUCGAAUCUUUGAACGCACAUUGCGCCCUUUGGUAUUCCGAAGGGCAUGCCUGAUCGAGCGUCAUUAUCACCCCUCAAGCCCUCGGCUUGGUGUUGGACGGUUUGGUGGAGGCCCCCUCGGGGGCUCCUGCCCCUCCCAAAGACAAUGACGGCGGCCUCGUUGGACCCCCGGUACACUGAGUUCUUCACGGGACACGUAUCGGACACAUGGGUUUACGGGACACGGUCUGCCUCCCCUCAGGGAGAAUCUUUCUAAGGUUGACCUCGGAUCAGGUAGGGAUACCCGCUGAACUUAAGCAUAUCAAUAAGCGGAGGA
rnacentral:misc_RNA from 1 species